UUUCCUGAAACACGGCACUGUAUCAACAAGUGGCAUGUAUUAAGGGGUGGCCAGGACAGAAUGUCUCAUGUAUGUCACAUGUUCCCAAAUUUCCAGGUUGAACUCUAUAAUUGUAUCAAUUUGACAGAGACAGUUGAAGAAUUUGAAUCGUAUUGGGAGAUGAUCCUUGAUAAGUAUGACCUGAAGAAGAAUGAUUGGCUUCAAUCCAUAUAUAAUACACGUCGACAGUGGGCACCAGUUUAUUUUCG
rnacentral:misc_RNA from 1 species